rnacentral:rRNA from 1 species
ACGAUCAGUAGGGGUUCUGAGAGGAAGGUCCCCCACAUUGGAACUGAGACACGGUCCAAACUCCUACGGGAGGCAGCAGUGAGGAAUAUUGGUCAAUGGGCGAGAGCCUGAACCAGCCAAGUAGCGUGCAGGAUGACGGCCCUAUGGGUUGUAAACUGCUUUUAUAAGGGAAUAAAGUGAGUCUCGUGAGACUUUUUGCAUGUACCUUAUGAAUAAGGACCGGCUAAUUCCGUGCCAGCAGCCGCGGUAAUACGGAAGGUCCGGGCGUUAUCCGGAUUUAUUGGGUUUAAAGGGAGCGUAGGCCGGAGAUUAAGCGUGUUGUGAAAUGUAGACGCUCAACGUCUGCACUGCAGCGCGAACUGGUUUCCUUGAGUACGCACAAAGUGGGCGGAAUUCGUGGUGUAGCGGUGAAAUGCUUAGAUAUCACGAAGAACUCCGAUUGCGAAGGCAGCUCACUGGAGCGCAACUGACGCUGAAGCUCGAAAGUGCGGGUAUCGAACAGGAUUAGAUACCCUGGUAGUCCGCACGGUAAACGAUGGAUGCCCGCUGUUGGUCUGAAUAGGUCAGCGGCCAAGCGAAAGCAUUAAGCAUCCCACCUGGGGAGUA